UCCGGAGAGGGGGCGGGGAGAGCGCGGCCCCUCGCCCGCCCUUGAUCCCCAGGCCGCCGGCCCUUUGAGCACAGUCGGCCGUUCGGGCCGCUGCGGGGACCGGCGGGUGACAUGCUGCGGCGGCUGGCGUCCCGCUGCGCCCGGAGCCUGGGGACCCGCGGGGGCGCGCGUCCUGCCGCGGGGCUCCGCCACCUGGGCCGCAGCCCCCGCCGCCGGGCCUCCGAUGCUCCCCGGAACCAGCCCCCCAGCUCCGAGGUCGUGGCCCGGCCGGUGGGCGUCUGCUCCAUGAUGCGGCUGCCGCUGCAGGCCUCCCCCCAGGGGCUGGACGCCGCCUUCGUCGGGGUGCCCCUGGACAUUGGGACCUCCAACCGGCCCGGGGCGAGAUUUGGACCCCGGCGGAUCAGGGAAGAAUCCGUGAUGCUUCGGACAACCAACCCUAGCACGGGGGCCCUCCCCUUCCAGUCCCUCUCGGUUGCAGAUCUAGGUGAUGUGAAUGUCAAUCUUUACAACCUUCAGGACAGCUGCCGUCUAAUUCGAGAGGCCUAUCAGAAAAUCGUAGCAGCUGGCUGUAUUCCUCUGACCUUGGGUGGAGAUCACACAAUCACAUAUCCUAUAUUGCAAGCGAUAGCCAAAAAGCAUGGCCCCGUGGGGCUGCUGCACGUGGAUGCCCACACGGACACGGCUGACAAGGCCCUAGGAGAGAAGGUCUAUCACGGGACGCCCUUCCGCCGGUGUGUGGACGAGGGACUCCUGGACCGUAAGCGUGUGGUGCAGAUCGGCAUCCGGGGCUCUGCCAUGACCCUGGAUCCCUACAGAUACAGCUGGAGCCAGGGCUUCCGGCUGGUCCUGGCUGAAGACUGCUGGAUGAAGUCCCUGGUUCCUCUGAUGGGGGAAGUGAGGCAGCAGAUGGGAGGCAAACCCAUGUACAUCAGCUUUGACAUUGACGGCUUGGAUCCCGCCUAUGCCCCGGGGACAGGGACGCCCGAAAUUGCUGGUCUCACCCCUAGUCAGGCGCUGGAAAUCAUCCGGGGUUGUCAAGGCCUGAACGUGGUGGGCUGUGAUCUUGUGGAAGUGUCACCGCCUUAUGAUCCUUCUGUGAAGAAAAUAAACCUAUUGCUCCACACCUUACAGACGUGAGCUAAUUAACUCGAACACACACCCCUGGGAGGUGGCUCUUACUAGCUUGCCCUCCCGUCAGCAGAAGGAGAACCAGUCCGCAGGAACAGUGAUAAGGGAACACGGCCCUCCUGGCGGCUAACCUGCUGUUUGAGAUGCUGUGUGUGCUCCCCAAGGUGACAGUCGUCUGAACCUCGUGCUCUUCCUGAUAAAUCAGCAGCUUGUGUCGAUGACAGGUUCUCAGGAAUUUAUGUGCAAGAGGCCCGAGUACUCAAGAGUUUACGCCAGUAAAACCUUCUGCUAGAGUGUCACUGGAGGCUGUAAAAUCAGGGCAUUCAGUAGAAGUCUGAUCCAACAGCUAAUAUUUCUAAGGAGUCUGAAUUAAAGAGAAGCACAUGUGUUGUUACAAGGGACAGAGUUUCGGAUUAUCUAAAAACUGGAGAAAUGAAAUAAAAAAAAAAAAACCCAUAGGACAGAAUCCCGUAUAAA